rnacentral:rRNA from 1 species
UACAGAGGGUGCGAGCGUUAAUCGGAAUUACUGGGCGUAAAGCGCACGUAGGUGGCGACGUAAGUCGGGUGUGAAAGCCCCGGGCUCAACCUGGGAAUUGCAUUCGAGACUGCAUUGCUGGAGUACGGAAGAGGAAGGCGGAAUUCCCCGGUGUAGCGGUGAAAUGCGUAGAUAUCGGGAGGAACACCGAUGGCGAAGGCAGGUCUCUGGGCCGAUACUGACGCUGAGGCACGAAGGCCAGGGGAGCAAACGGG